rfam:Brassica napus, WGS project CCCW01000000 data, contig: 12188
GUAAUAUAACAUACGGUCUAUUAGCUUUUAACUAAAAAAACUAAGAUACGUCACUCUUAUAUCUCUUAUUUAAGAGACGUUUCUUAGCUUUUUUAGUUAAAAGCUAAGAGACCGUAUUUUAUAUUAG